GCCCAUGUGGUGUAGCGGCCAAGCACAUCGUCCUACUGGAUCAUGCCAGCGGAUGGAGACGCGGGUUCAAAUCCCGUCAUGGGCUC
rnacentral:tRNA from 1 species